rnacentral:rRNA from 1 species
UACGUAGGGUGCAAGCGUUAAUCGGAAUUACUGGGCGUAAAGCGUGCGCAGGCCGUUGUGCAAGACAGAUGUGAAAUCCCCGGGCUCAACCUGGGAACUGCAUUUGUGACUGCAUAGCUGGAGUGCGGCAGAGGGGGAUGGAAUUCCGCGUGUAGCAGUGAAAUGCGUAGAUAUGCGGAGGAACACCGAUGGCGAAGGCAAUCCCCUGGGCCUGCACUGACGCUCAUGCACGAAAGCGUGGGGAGCAAACAGG